rnacentral:rRNA from 1 species
AAAGUUAGAUGAGUGAAGGCGAUCAGAUACCGCCCUAGUUCUAACCAUAAACGAUGCCAGCCAGCGAUCCGGCUGUGUUCCUCAAAUGACACGCCGGGCAGCUUCCGGGAAACCAAAGCUUUUGGGUUCCGGGGGAAGUAUGGUUGCAAAGCUGAAACUUGAAGGAAUUGACGGAAAGGCACUACCAGGAUUGGGGCCUGCGGCUUAAUUUGACUCAACGCGCGGUACUCUACCAGGUCCGGACACAGGAAGGAUUGACAGAUUGAGAGCUCUUUCUUGAUUCUGUGGGUGGUGGUGCAUGGCCGUUCGUAGUUGGUGGAGCGAUUUGUCUGGUUUAUUCCGUUAACGAGCGAGACUCUAGCCUACUAAAUAGACGAUCCGAUCAUUCAUGUCGGACGUUCUUCUUAGGGGGACAAGCGGCGUCUAGCCGCACGAGACAGAGCAAUAACAGGUCUGUUAUGCCCUUGGAUGUCCUGGGCCGCACGCGCGCCACAAUGAAGGAAUCAGCGUGUGCUUUCCCGGUCCGACAGGAUCGGGUAACCCGUUGAACCUCCUUCGUGCUUGGGAUAGGGGCUUGCAAUUAUUCCCCUUGAACGAGGAAUUCCCAGUAAGCACGAGUCAUCAUCUCGUGUUGAUUACGUCCCUGCCUUUUGUACACACCGCCCGUCGCUACUACUAAUGGAUGGCUUAGUGAGGUCUUCGGACUGGCGCUCGGAGCGGCUUUCGGGUCGUGACGGCGUGCCGGGAAGAUGACCGAACUUGACCCUM